rnacentral:pre_miRNA from 1 species
ACAACAGUAGGACAGUCGGUCUACCAAGUAAAAUUUCACAUGCUCGGUGGAAGAUUUUUCCUCUGUCAU